rnacentral:rRNA from 1 species
GACGAACGCUGGCGGCGUGCUUAACACAUGCAAGUCGAACGGAAAGGCCCUGCUUUUGUGCGGUUCUCGAUUGGCGAACGGGUGAGUAACACGUGUGUAACCUGCCCUUGACUUUGGGAGAACUUCAGGAAACUGGGGCUAAUACCGGAUAGGAUCUUCUGCUGCAUGGUGGGGGUUGGAAAGUUUCGGCGGUUGGGGAUGGACUCGCGGCUUAUCAGCUUGUUUGUGGGGUAGGUGCUUACCAAGGCUUUGAAGGGUAGGCGGCCUGGGAGGGUGGACGGGCACCUUGGGCCUGAGGUAGGGACCAGACUGCAACGGGGGGCAACAGUGGGAAAUAUUACACAAUGGGCCGAAGUGUGAUAAGGAAACGUUCGGUGCGGAAAGCCCGCCUUUGGGUUAUAAACAGCUUUCGCCUGUGACGAAGCGUGAGUGACGGUAAUGAGUAAAGAAGCACCGGCUAACUACGUG